rnacentral:ncRNA from 1 species
UAAAAACCUCUUUGGUUUUGGUAUCUUCCUUUUGUUUUGCAUUGAGUUCUCCUACAACAGCAGCCUCGGACAUUAACCGAGGUUUUU